GAUGAACGCUGGCGGCGUGCUUAACACAUGCAAGUCGAACGGAAAGGCCAGUGCUUGCACUGGUACUCGAGUGGCGAACGGGUGAGUAACACGCGGGUGAUCUGCCCUGUACUUCGGGAUAAGCUUGGGAAACUGGGUCUAAUACCGGAUAGGACAACUUUUUGGAUAUUGUUGUGGAAAGCUUUUGCGGUAUGGGAUGAGUUCGCGGCCUAUCAGCUUGUUGGUGGGGUAAUGGCCUACUAAGGCGUCGACGGGUAGCCGGCCUGAGAGGGUGUACGGCCACAUUGGGACUGAGGUACGGCCCAGACUCCUACGGGAGGCAGCAGUGGGGAAUAUGGCACAAUGGGCGCAAGCCUGAUGCAGCGACGCCGCGUGGGGGAUGAAGGCCUUCGGGUUGUAAACUCCUGUCGCUAGGGACGAAGCGCAAGUGACGGUACCUGGAGAAGAAGCACCGGCUAACUACGUG
rnacentral:rRNA from 1 species